rnacentral:rRNA from 1 species
AUACGGAGGAUGCGAGCGUUAUCCGGAUUCAUUGGGUUUAAAGGGUGCGUAGGCGGAAUAAUAAGUCAGGGGUGAAAGUUUGCGGCUCAACCGUAAAAUUGCCUUUGAUACUGUUAUUCUUGAGUACACGCGAGGUAUGCGGAAUGUGAUGUGUAGCGGUGAAAUGCUUAGAUAUAUCACAGAACACCGAUUGCGAAGGCAGCAUACUAGAGUGUCACCGACGCUGAUGCACGAAAGCGUGGGUAUCGAACAGAAUUAGAAACCCCAGUAGUCC